AGCGAACGCUGGCGGCAGGCCUAACACAUGCAAGUCGAACGGACCCUUCGGGGUUAGUGGCGGACGGGUGAGUAACACGUGGGAACGUGCCUUUUGGUUCGGAACAACUCAGGGAAACUUGAGCUAAUACCGAAUGUGCCCUUCGGGGGAAAGAUUUAUCGCCAUUAGAGCGGCCCGCGUCUGAUUAGCUUGUUGGUGAGGUAAUGGCUCACCAAGGCGACGAUCAGUAGCUGGUCUGAGAGGAUGAUCAGCCACAUUGGGACUGAGACACGGCCCAAACUCCUACGGGAGGCAGCAGUGGGGAAUCUUGCGCAAUGGGCGAAAGCCUGACGCAGCCAUGCCGCGUGAAUGAUGAAGGUCUUAGGAUUGUAAAAUUCUUUCACCGGGGACGAUAAUGACGGUACCCGGAGAAGAAGCCCCGGCUAACUUCGUGCCAGCAGCCGCCGUAAUAC
rnacentral:rRNA from 1 species